GAAAGCGGAGCCUAUCAGCGGCUGGGGAAGACGGAAACAUCCUCCAAGAGUGCCCAAUCACAGAGCUCGAGAAAUCCUAUAAAAGCUGGAGCCUCGCGGACUCUAGCUCUUUUGGGAUGGGAUGUGGUGGCGUGUUCGUUUUCCGUGAGGCUUCUCUCGUGGGAAGAAAGUGAGCUCAGAGCAAGACCUUUGAGCCCCACAGGCUAAUCUAGCCUUUAAUGUUACCUUGGUCUGGGCUGCUCGUUGGUCCUCAAGGCCUGUUUCUAAGUCUCCGGAUUCUCCAGAGCGUGGUGAACCAGCUGCAGACCUUGAACAUAAACCAGCCGCAGUACGGAGGCCCAGCGGACAAGAGGGUUUGGUGGUAAGGCGGGCAUCCAUGUCUAAACUGUAACAAUAAAGUAAAAGUAGUGAGUUUUA